UCUGUUCUGCACUAAUUUAACAUUUUUUAAAAACGCACAAAACAACCUUGAAUGCUUUCAAAGACUAGAAGGUCAAAUUAAGGAGUCUGUACAGCCAAAAGUGGACAGUUAUGUGGACAAAUUUCAGCUAGAAAACUGCUUCUGUCAUGAAGGCAUAUCUGUGCAUCAAAGCCAGAGCUCCGGGGCGUGGAGGCGGGGGGAGAGUGAGGCUGCACUGAACCAUCCACGCACGCAACUUAACACUUCGGGGUUCUCGGACACAAAUUCUUGAGCUUUCUGUGUAAGCUGUAACCAAAACAAGAGAGCAUCCGCGACUGAACGUCCGUGUGAAGACAGGCCACAGAAGGAAAGGGAAUUCUAGAUGGGAAUUCUCCAGGGUCACCCUCAUCUUCUCCACACCGAUUCUUUAGCGAGACAGGUGGGGGCUCCCCAUGGCUCCAGGUUCAACACUGUUUACGAGAGGUUUGGCCACUAGAGGUUCCAAGGACUAAAACAGACAGGCAGGAAGGAGCCACAAGGCUGUGUGGACACAAACACAAUCAGAAUUUCAAGAAGGAUGUGCAUGGGUGCCAAAUUUGAUAAAAUGGACAAAGUUUCAUUUUGCGUGUUUCUUAUACUCUAUUUUAUGCUGGAUUUCAGUGCAAAGCAGAAGAGUUUGUGGUGCCCAUGUUUACAUCUUAAGAUAUAUAUAUAUACACACACACUUA